CGUGUGUGUGUGUGUUGCACGAACGACACCAGGCUGAGGCAGACGGAGAUCCUGAAGAAGGACUUCAGAAGCCUGAUUGAGAAGGUACGCAGCACAUCGCCCACGACGAGGAUCAUCGUGUCAGGACCGCUUCCCACGUUCCAGCGAGGAAUUGAGAGGCUCUACCACACUGACGGCCUGCACCCAAGCAGAGCUGGAGCAGCGGUCCUCUCGGACAACAUCUCUAGGACACUACGCACCAUCUGACUGCUACACUCCUGAGCUGCCGGUGAUCCAGACCUCCCCCCCUUCACUCUGGACCUGUCCACUGGCAAUGCUUCAUACUGCCACGAAAACGCUUCAGCUGUUUUCCAUGGACUACACCAACACACAUUGUGCUCACACACACGCACACUACAGUGUAAACCCAUAUGAGGAUGGGUUCUCUGUUGAGCCUGGUUCCUCUCAAGGUUUCUUCCUAUCACCAUCUCAGGGAGUUUUUCCUUGCCACCGUCGCCCUGCUUGCUCAUCAGAGACGGCACACACACACACUUCACUUUACUUUUGUUUGUGUAAAGCUGCUUUGAGACAAUGACCUUUGUAAAAAGCGCUAUACAAAUAAAAAUGAAUUGAAUUGAAUUGUU